rnacentral:rRNA from 1 species
UACGAGGGAUGCAAGCGUUAUCCGGAAUUAUUGGGCGUAAAGCGUUUGUAGGCGGGCGAGUGUGUUUAAUGUUAAAUCUUAAAGCUCAACUUUGAAAUUGCGUUAAAAACUGCUUGUCUUGAGUAUGGUAGGGGUAAAGGGAAUUCCCAGUGUAGCGGUGAAAUGCGUAGAUAUUGGGAGGAACACUAAACAGCGAAGGCACUUUACUAGGCUAAUACUGACGCUGAGAAACGAAAGGUAAGGUAGCGAAACGGAUUAGAUACCCGUGUAGUCUUACCCGUAAACUAUGGACACUAAACGGUAAAUUUUUAAUUUACUGUUAAAGCUAACGCGUUAAGUGUCCCGCCUGGGGAGUAUGCUUGCAAAAGUGAAACUCAAAGGAAUUGACGGGGGCCCGCACAAGCGGUGGAGCAUGUGGUUUAAUUCGACGGUACACGAAGAACCUUACCAGGAUUUGACAUGCUAGAUAGUUGCUUGAAAGAGUAACGUGCCGUAAGGAAUCUAGACACAGGUGGUGCAUGGCUGUCGUCAGUUCGUGUUGUGAAAUGUUGGGUUAAGUCCCGCAACGAACGCAACCCUUGUCUUUAGUUAUUUUCUAAAGAGACUGCCUGUAAUAAACAGGAGGAAGGUAAGGAUGAGGUCAAGUCAUCAUGCCCCUUAUGUCCUGGGCUACACACGUGCUACAAUGGGAAAGACAAUGAGCUGCAAAUCUGUAAAUUUAAGCAAAUCUCUUAAACUUUCUCGUAGUUCGGAUUGUGGGCUGCAACUCGCCCACAUGAAGUUGGAAUCGCUAGUAAUCGCCAGUCAGCUAUAUGGCGGUGAAUCCGUUCCCGGGCCU